rnacentral:rRNA from 1 species
CCUACGGGAGGCAGCAGUGAGGAAUAUUGGUCAAUGGGCUUACGCUUGAUCCAGCCAAGUCGCGUGAGGGAAGACUGCCCUCUGGGUUGUAAACCUCUUUUGUCAGGGAGCAACGCCGGCUACGUGUAGCCGGACUGAGAGUAACUGAAGAAACAGCAUCGGCUAACUCCGUGCCAGCAGCCGCGGUAAUACGGAGGAUGCGAGCGUUAUCCGGAUGUAUUGGGUUGAAAGGGUGCGUAGGUGGCAUGCCAAGUCAGCAGUAAAAUCGCGGGGCUCAACCUCGCUCCGCCGUUGAAACUGGCGAUCUUGAGUGGGCGAGAAGGAAGCGGAAUGCGUGGUGUAGCGGUGAAAUGCAUAGAUAGCACGCAGAACUCCGAUUGCGAAGGCAGCAUACUGGGGCCCAACUGACGCUGAGGCACGAAAGCGUGGGUAUCGAACAGGAUUAGAUACCCUAGUAGUC